GAUGAAGAACGUAGCGAAAUGCGAUAAGUAAUGUGAAUUGCAGAAUUCAGUGAAUCAUCGAAUCUUUGAACGCACAUUGCGCCCGCCAGUAUUCUGGCGGGCAUGCCUGUCUGAGCGUCAUUUCAACCCUCAUGCCCCUAGGGCGUGGUGUUGGGGAUCGGCCAAAGCCCGCGAGGGACGGCCGGCCCCUGAAUCUAGUGGCGGACCCGUCGUGGCCUCCUCUGCGAAGUAGUGAUAUUCCGCAUCGGAGAGCGAUGAGCCCCUGCCGUUAAACCCCCAACUUUCCAAGGUUGACCUCAGAUCAGGUAGGAAUACCCGCUGAACUUAAGCAUAUCAAUAAGCGGAGGA
rnacentral:misc_RNA from 1 species